GUCAUCGGACCGCAUGGUCCGAGGAUGAAAGGCGCUUCGGCGUCGCCUGGGGAUGGCUUUGCGGUGCAUUAGCUAGUUGGUGGGGUAAUGGCCCACCAAGGCGACGAUGCAUAGCCGACCUGAGAGGGUGAUCGGCCACACUGGGACUGAGACACGGCCCAGACUCCUACGGGAGGCAGCAGUAGGGAAUCUUCCACAAUGGACGAAAGUCUGAUGGAGCAACGCCGCGUGAACGAUGAAGGCCUUCGGGUCGUAAAGUUCUGUUGUAAGGGAAGAACAAGUGCCGCAGGCAAUGGCGGCACCUUGACGGUACCUUGCGAGAAAGCCACGGCUAACUACGUGCCAGCAGCCGCGGUAAUACGUAGGUGGCAAGCGUUGUCCGGAAUUAUUGGGCGUAAAGCGCGCGCAGGCGGCCUCUUAAGUCUGAUGUGAAAGCCCCCGGCUCAACCGGGGAGGGCCAUUGGAAACUGGGAGGCUUGAGUAUAGGAGAGAAGAGUGGAAUUCCACGUGUAGCGGUGAA
rnacentral:rRNA from 1 species